UUUCCGUAGGUGAACCUGCGGAAGGAUCAGUAAAGAGAAUAUGCCCUUCGGGGUAGAUCUCCCACCCUUUGUUUAUAUUACCUUUGUUGCUUUGGCAGGCCCGUCUUCGGACCACCGGCUUCGGCUGGUCAGUGCUUGCCAGAGGACCCAAAACUCUUAUUAUUAAUGUCGUCUGAGUACUAUAUAAUAGUUAAAACUUUCAACAACGGAUCUCUUGGUUCUG
rnacentral:misc_RNA from 1 species